rnacentral:rRNA from 1 species
GGGUCAGUAGGUUGGUCGUGCCACCGGUACGUACUGGUCUCACUGAUUCCUCCUUCCUGAAGAACCGUAAUGCCAUUAAUUUGGUGUUGCUGGGAAACAGGACUGUUACUUUGAAAAAAUUAGAGUGUUUAAAGCAAGCUAACGCUUGAAUACAUUAGCAUGGAAUAAUGAAAUAGGACGAUCGAUCCUAUUUUGUUGGUUUCUAGGAUUGACGUA